UACGUAGGGGGCGAGCGUUGUCCGGAAUUAUUGGGCGUAAAGAGCGUGUAGGCGGUCCGGUAAGUCCGCUGUGAAAGUCCAGGGCUCAACCCUGGAAUGCCGGUGGAUACUGCCGGGCUAGAGUCCGGAAGAGGCGAGUGGAAUUCCUGGUGUAGCGGUGAAAUGCGCAGAUAUCGGGAGGAACACCAAUGGCGAAGGCAGCUUGCUGGGACGGUACUGACGCUGAGACGCGAAAGCGUGGGGAGCAAACAGG
rnacentral:rRNA from 1 species